rnacentral:rRNA from 1 species
UACGGAGGGUGCAAGCGUUGUCCGGAAUCACUGGGCGUAAAGGGCGCGUAGGCGGAUGGUACAGUCAGAUGUGAAAUUCCCGGGCUUAACCUGGGGGCUGCAUUUGAUACGUGCGAUCUGGAGUGAGGAAGAGGGUCGUGGAAUUCCCAGUGUAGAGGUGAAAUUCGUAGAUAUUGGGAAGAACACCGGUGGCGAAGGCGGCGACCUGGUCCUUUACUGACGCUGAGGCGCGAAAGCGUGGGGAGCAAACAGG